rnacentral:rRNA from 1 species
GACGAACGCUGGCGGCGUGCUUAACACAUGCAAGUCGAACGGAAAGGCCCUGCUUUUGUGGGGUGCUCGAGUGGCGAACGGGUGAGUAACACGUGAGUAACCUGCCCUUGACUUUGGGAUAACUUCAGGAAACUGGGGCUAAUACCGGAUAGGAGCUCCUGCUGCAUGGUGGGGGUUGGAAAGUUUCGGCGGUUGGGGAUGGACUCGCGGCUUAUCAGCUUGUUGGUGGGGUAGUGGCUUACCAAGGCUUUGACGGGUAGCCGGCCUGAGAGGGUGACCGGCCACAUUGGGACUGAGAUACGGCCCAGACUCCUACGGGAGGCAGCAGUGGGGAAUAUUGCACAAUGGGCGGAAGCCUGAUGCAGCAACGCCGCGUGCGGGAUGACGGCCUUCGGGUUGUAAACCGCUUUCGCCUGUGACGAAGCGUGAGUGACGGUAAUGGGUAAAGAAGCACCGGCUAACUACGUGCCAGCAGCCGCGGUGAUACGUAGGGUGCGAGCGUUGUCCGGAUUUAUUGGGCGUAAAGGGCUCGUAGGUGGUUGAUCGCGUCGGAAGUGUAAUCUUGGGGCUUAACCCUGAGCGUGCUUUCGAUACGGGUUGACUUGAGGAAGGUAGGGGAGAAUGGAAUUCCUGGUGGAGCGGUGGAAUGCGCAGAUAUCAGGAGGAACACCAGUGGCGAAGGCGGUUCUCUGGGCCUUUCCUGACGCUGAGGAGCGAAAGCGUGGGGAGCGAACAGGCUUAGAUACCCUGGUAGUCCACGCUGUAAACGGUGGGUACUAGGUGUGGGGUCCAUUCCACGGGUUCCGUGCCGUAGCUAACGCUUUAAGUACCCCGCCUGGGGAGUACGGCCGCAAGGCUAAAACUCAAAGGAAUUGACGGGGCCCCGCACAAGCGGCGGAGCAUGCGGAUUAAUUCGAUGCAACGCGUAGAACCUUACCUGGGUUUAACAUGGAUCGGGAGCGCUCAGAGAUGGGUGUGCCUCUUUUGGGGUCGGUUCACAGGUGGUGCAUGGCUGUCGUCAGCUCGUGUCGUGAGAUGUUGGGUUAAGUCCCGCAACGAGCGCAACCCUUGUUCACUGUUGCCAGCACGUUAUGGUGGGGACUCAGUGGAGACCGCCGGGGUCAACUCGGAGGAAGGUGGGGAUGACGUCAAGUCAUCAUGCCCCUUAUGUCCAGGGCUUCACGCAUGCUACAAUGGCUGGUACAGAGAGUGGCGAGCCUGUGAGGGUGAGCGAAUCUCGGAAAGCCGGUCUCAGUUCGGAUUGGGGUCUGCAACUCGACCUCAUGAAGUCGGAGUCGCUAGUAAUCGCAGAUCAGCAACGCUGCGGUGAAUACGUUCCCGGG